rnacentral:siRNA from 1 species
GGGCUAUCCAAUCAGAGACUCGAG